AGCGAACGCUGGCGGCAGGCCUAACACAUGCAAGUCGAACGGAUCCUUCGGGAUUAGUGGCGGACGGGUGAGUAACACGUGGGAACGUGCCCUUUGGUUCGGAACAACUCAGGGAAACUUGAGCUAAUACCGGAUGUGCCCUUCGGGGGAAAGAUUUAUCACCAUUGGAGCGGCCCGCGUCUGAUUAGCUAGUUGGUGAGGUAACGGCCCACCAAGGCGACGAUCAGUAGCUGGUCUGAGAGGAUGAUCAGCCACACUGGGACUGAGACACGGCCCAGACUCCUACGGGAGGCAGCAGUGGGGAAUCUUGCGCAAUGGGCGAAAGCCUGACGCAGCCAUGCCGCGUGAAUGAUGAAGGUCUUAGGAUUGUAAAAUUCUUUCAGCGGGGACGAUAAUGACGGUACCCGCAGAAGAAGCUCCGGCUAACUUCGUG
rnacentral:rRNA from 1 species